rnacentral:rRNA from 1 species
AGCUCCAAUAGCGUAUAUUUAAGUUGUUGCAGUUAAAAAGCUCGUAGUUGGAUCUUGGGACGUAAAGGUCGGUCCGCCUACUCGGUGUGCACCUGCCCUUCCGUCCCUUUUGUCGGCGGCGUGCUCCUGGCCUUAAUUGGCUGGGUCGCGGUUCCGGCGCUGUUACUUUGAAAAAAUUAGAGUGCUCAAAGCAAGCUUAUGCUCUGAAUACAUUAGCAUGGAAUAAUGUGAUAGGAGUCUGGUCCUAUUGUGUUGGCCUUCGGGACCGGAGUAAUGAUUAAUAGGGACUGUCGGGGGCAUUCGUAUUUCAUUGUCAGAGGUGAAAUUCUUGGAUUUAUGAAAGACGGACCACUGCGAAAGCAUUUGCCAAGGAUGUUUUCA